rnacentral:tRNA from 1 species
ACCUGGGUGGCUCAGUCGGUUGAGCGUCCGACUUCGGCUCAGGUCAUGAUCUCACAGUUCGUGGGUUCAAGCCCCGCAUCAGGCU